UACGUAGGGUGCAAGCGUUAAUCGGAAUUACUGGGCGUAAAGCGUGCGCAGGCGGUUUUGUAAGUUUGUCGUGAAAGCCCCGGGCUCAACCUGGGAAUUGCGAUGAAGACUGCAAGGCUUGAAUCUGGCAGAGGGGGGUAGAAUUCCACGUGUAGCAGUGAAAUGCGUAGAGAUGUGGAGGAACACCGAUGGCGAAGGCAGCCCCCUGGGUCGAGAUUGACGCUCAUGCACGAAAGCGUGGGGAGCAAACAGG
rnacentral:rRNA from 1 species